UGGGGAAUAUUGCACAAUGGGCGCAAGCCUGAUGCAGCCAUGCCGCGUGUAUGAAGAAGGCCUUCGGGUUGUAAAGUACUUUCAGCGGGGAGGAAGGGAGUAAAGUUAAUACCUUUGCUCAUUGACGUUACCCGCAGAAGAAUCACCGUCCAACUCCGUGCCAGCAGCCGCGGUAAUACGGAGGGUGCAAGCGUUAAUCGGAAUUACUGGGCGUAAAGCGCACGCAGGCGGUUUGUUAAGUCAGAUGUGAAAUCCCCGGGCUCAACCUGGGAACUGCAUCUGAUAAUGGCAAGCUUGAGUCUCGUAGAGGGGGGUAGAAUUCCAGGAGUAGCGGUGAAAUGCGUAGAGAUCUGGAGGAAUACCGGUGGCGAAGGCGGCCCCCUGGACGAAGACUGACGCUCAAGUGCGAAAGAGUGGGGAGCAAACAGG
rnacentral:rRNA from 1 species